rnacentral:rRNA from 1 species
UACAGAGGUCUCAAGCGUUGUUCGGAUUCAUUGGGCGUAAAGGGUGCGUAGGCGGCGCGGUAAGUCGGGUGUGAAAUCUUGGAGCUUAACUCCGAAACUGCAUUCGAUACUGCCGUGCUUGAGGACUGGAGAGGAGACUGGAAUUUACGGUGUAGCGGUGAAAUGCGUAGAUAUCGUAAGGAAGACCAGUGGCGAAGGCGGCUCACUGGCCCGGUACUGACGCUGAGGCGCGAAAGCGUGGGGAGCAAACAGG